CGGGGUGCACCAGGCGCGAAAACUCUACAAUGCAGGCAACUGCGAUAGGGGAACAUCGAGUGGCACCCACCAUGGGUGUCUGUCCAGCCGUCUAAAAAACGGCUGUUAGCAAGGGCCGGGCAAGACCGGUGCCAGCCGCCGCGGUAAUACCGGCGGCUCGAGUGGUGGCCGAUAUUAUUGAGUCUAAAGGGUCCGUAGCCGGCUUUGCAAGUCCCCUGGGAAAUCCAGCGGCUUAACCGUUGGGCUUUCAUGGGAUACUACAUUGCUUGGGACUGGGAGAGGUAGGAGGUACUCAGGGGGUAGGGGUGAAAUCCUGUAAUCCUCUGGGGACCACCGGUGGCGAAGGCGUCCUACCAGAACAGGUCCGACGGUGAGGGACGAAAGCUAGGGGCACGAACCGGAUUAGAUACCCGGGUAGUCCUAGCCGUAAACGAUGCUCGCUAGGUGUCACGGCAGUCGUGAAUUGUCGUGGUGCCGUAGGGAAGCCGUGAAGCGAGCCACUUGGGAAGUACGACCGCAAGGUUGAAACUUAAAGGAAUUGGCGGGG
rnacentral:rRNA from 1 species